rnacentral:rRNA from 1 species
UUAGCAGUGGAGAAUAUUGGUCAAUGGCCUAACGGCUGAACUGGCAACUUGGAGAAGUGGCAAGUCUUCCAGUAUGGGGAGCAAACAGCUAUGGGUCAAGCCCGACAUCUUUAGGAGAAGUCUUAUUGUGAGGGCGAGUUGUAAAACACCAUAGGGCUGGCCGUCCCAUAUGAAAAGAUUUUAUUAGAAUUGAAUGAAACUUUGUUUAUAUAUUGAUAAUGACAGUAUAUAUAUCGUGUCUUGACUAAUUGCGUGCCAGCAGUCGCGGUAAUACGUAAGAGACUAGUGUUAUUCAUCUUAAUUAGGUUUAAAGGGUACCCAGACGGUCAAUAUAGCUUAUAAAAUGUUAGUACUUGACUAGAGUUUUAUGUAAGAGGGCAGUACUUGAGGAGGAGAGAUGAAAUUUCGUGAUACCAAAGGGACUCUGUAAAGGCGAAGGCAGCCCUCUAUGUAAAAACUGACGUUGAAGGACGAAGGCACAGAGAACAAACAGGAUUAGAUACCCAAGUAGUCUUUGCAGUAAAUGAUGAAUGCCAUAGGUUAGAUUAAUAGUUAAUGUAUAUAGGCUAGUAUAAUAGACUAUACAUUAAAAAUUAUUUGGUCUAUAAAUGAAAGUGUAAGCAUUUCACCUCAAGAGUAAUGUGGCAACGCAGGAACUGAAAUCACUAGACCGUUUCUGACACCAGUAGUGAAGUAUGUUAUUUAAUUCGAUGGAACCCGGAAA